GGGCGCGUAGCUCAGUGGUAGAGCACACCCUUCACACGGGUGGGGUCGUAGGUUCAAUCCCUACCGCGCCCACCA
rnacentral:tRNA from 42 species